UGGGGAAUAUUGCACAAUGGGCGCAAGCCUGAUGCAGCCAUGCCGCGUGUAUGAAGAAGGCCUUCGGGUUGUAAAGUACUUUCAGCGGGGAGGAAGGCGAUAAGGUUAAUAACCUUGUCGAUUGACGUUACCCGCAGAAGAAGCACCGGCUAACUCCGUGCCAGCAGCCGCGGUAAUACGGAGGGUGCAAGCGGUAAUCGGCAUUACUGGGCGUAAAGCGCACGCAGGCGGUCUGUCAAGUCGGAUGUGAAAUCCCCGGGCUCAACCUGGGAACUGCAUUCGAAACUGGCAGGCUAGAGUCUUGUAGAGGGGGGUAGAAUUCCAGGUGUAGCGGUGAAAUGCGUAGAGAUCUGGAGGAAUACCGGUGGCGAAGGCGGCCCCCUGGACAAAGACUGACGCUCAGGUGCGAAAGCGUGGGGAGCAAACA
rnacentral:rRNA from 1 species